rnacentral:rRNA from 1 species
AUUGAACGCUGGCGGCAGGCCUAACACAUGCAAGUCGUGCGGUAACAGGGUGCUUGCACCGCUGACGAGUGGCGAACGGGUGAGUAAUGCGUCGGAACGUGCCGAGUAGUGGGGGAUAACGCAGCGAAAGUUGUGCUAAUACCGCAUACGUACUGAGGUAGAAAGUGGGGGACCUUCGGGCCUCACGCUAUUCGAGCGGCCGACGUCUGAUUAGCUAGUAGGUGAGGUAAAGGCUCACCUAGGCGACGAUCAGUAGCGGGUCUGAGAGGAUGAUCCGCCACACUGGGACUGAGACACGGCCCAGACUCCUACGGGAGGCAGCAGUGGGGAAUUUUGGACAAUGGGCGAAAGCCUGAUCCAGCCAUGCCGCGUGUCUGAAGAAGGCCUUCGGGUUGUAAAGGACUUUUGUCGGGAAGGAAAUCCCCAGCGUUAAUACCGCUGGGGGAUGACAGUACCUGAAGAAUAAGCACCGGCUAACUACGUGCCAGCCGCCGCCGUAAUAC